GACGAACCGAGCGAACGUUGUUCGGAAUCACUGGGCUUAAAGGGCGCGUAGGCGGGUUCUCAAGUCCGGGGUGAAAUCCCACAGCUCAACUGUGGAACUGCCUCGGAUACUGGGAGUCUCGAGGGUGGCAGGGGUAUGCGGAACUAUCGGUGGAGCGGUGAAAUGCGUUGAUAUCGAUAGGAACUCCGGUGGCGAAGGCGGCAUACUGGUCCACUUCUGACGCUGAGGCGCGAAAGCCAGGGGAGCAAACGGGG
rnacentral:rRNA from 1 species